rnacentral:lncRNA from 1 species
AAUAUACGGCAUCCUGGAGUUGCGAUGUCAAUUUUGAUCUAUUGGAUCAAAGUGUAGAUUGAGCUAGUUGGACAUCAUCCCCGAGUGACUUUGGACGCGUGAGAAUGAAUUCCGAUGAUAAAUAAGUGUUUCGGCGCAAAUUGGGCGCGAAACGAAAUGUAAAUAAAAUUUUCGGAAUUCUGACGCUAACUUUGAUUAAAAGAAUUAAAGCGAGG